ACUCCUACGGGAGGCAGCAGUGGGGAAUAUUGGACAAUGGGGGCAACCCUGAUCCAGCCAUACCGCGUGUGUGAAGAAGGUCUUCGGAUUGUAAAGCACUUUAAGUUGGGAGGAAGGGCAGUUACCUAAUACGUGAUUGUUUUGACGUUACCGACAGAAUAAGCACCGGCUAACUCUGUGCCAGCAGCCGCGGUAAU
rnacentral:rRNA from 1 species